GCCAAGUGACAUCUUUUGCCUUUUCUUAUUAGAAACAGAAAUUAUUUAUACAACUUUUUUAGCUUCUUGCCUUUAUUUUUAGAUGUCUUAAAUGAGCCAAAAAGGAACAAAAGACUGUAGAAGAUGAAAACGAACCUACACAUGAUUCUAUUUUAACUCUGAUUUUUUUUACUUCCUCCAACUUUCACUGUAUAAGCAUGCAGUGCACAUAACAAAAUAUCAGGCAGGGCAAGCAUGAUAGAAGCUAUUGCCACCAUAACCUGAAAUUGAAAAUGUGACAUAAACAAAACUACAGAAAAUGAGCAACCAAAGAAAGCUUAUCCGAUUGGUUCUGUCAAAGUCAAGCCAAGAUACCCAAGAUACACAAGUAGCCCAUGAUAUGCAAAUUGGACAACAACAACCACAGGAUUGAAUUUGAUUUUUUAAAAUUUAAACUACAAGAAGAGCAGUGGUGGAGGACAGGAGGAGUCUUCUUAGAAGUUACCAGGAAAAGCAUUGUUGGUCAACUUGGGUAUGGAACUGGUCAUCUUCUGAAAGUAAUUUGCUUGUUUCUUUGGUUUGCUUAAGAAAAGAGUCUAUAAGUGACUGCUGUAUGGUGAAAGGGGAAAUACAGGUUUGGGACAUGACAUUGAUCUUAACUUGUGGAAAGCCCUGUUGUUGGAUUAUUUUCAGUCAUUCACUAUGGGAAGUCAUGUUACUGCAAAGUAGAAUACUAUGUGAUUAGAUGAUGCAGACUGUGUGUGCAGGGUAGGCACAAAAAUUAAAUAUAAGGGCUAUUUCUCCCUCCACACACUUUUAGUUUAAAUGAACAGGUGACUUCAACUAAAUGAUAUAUGCAUCCCUGAAUGAGUUAGUCUCUAAGGCAAAAUGUUAUCCUGCCUUUUGCCUUCCUAAUACAAGGGACAUAUUUUGGGGGGGAUCAUUAAACAAUUCUUGAUUUGAAUUCAUUUCCCUCAUUGUCACAAAAGAACCUGUCAAAAAACAGAAAAUGGGUUUUUCUAAGAAAAUAUUUCUUCCAUUAGAAGUUGUUAUUUUUGUGAAAAUUAGAAGUUGGUGGGAACAUGGCAAUUUCAAAGCACUGUUAAAAAAUUAAAUGAAACAUUUUAUGUUACCAG
rnacentral:lncRNA from 1 species